rnacentral:rRNA from 1 species
UACGAAGGGGGCUAGGCGUUGCUCGGAAUCACUGGGCGUAAAGGGUGCGUAGGCGGCCAACUAAGUCAUACGUGAAAUCCCUCGGCUACAACCGGGGAACUGCGUCUGGAUACUGGGUGGCUUGAAUUCGGGAGAGGGAUGCGGAAUUCCAGGUGUAGCGGUGAAAUGCGUAGAGUAUCUGGGAGGAACACCGGUGGCGAAGGCGGCAUCCUGGACCGAGAUU